rnacentral:rRNA from 1 species
GAUGAACGCUGGCGGCGUGCUUAACACAUGCAAGUCGAACGAAGCCUUCGGGCUUAGUGGCGGACGGGUGAGUAACACGUGGGAACGUACCUUUUGGUUCGGAACAACUCAGGGAAACUUGAGCUAAUACCGGAUGAGCCCUUAGGGGGAGAGAUUUAUCGCCGAAAGAGCGGCCCGCGUUAGAUUAGCUAGUUGGUGAGGUAAAGGCUCACCAAGGCUACGAUCUAUAGCUGGUCUGAGAGGAUGAUCAGCCACACUGGGACUGAGACACGGCCCAGACUCCUACGGGAGGCAGCAGUGGGGAAUCUUGCGCAAUGGGCGAAAGCCUGACGCAGCCAUGCCGCGUGAAUGAUGAAGGUCUUAGGAUUGUAAAAUUCUUUUACCAGGGACGAUAAUGACGGUACCUGGAGAAAAAGCCCCGGCUAACUUCGUGCCAGCCGCCGCGGUAGAAC